AACGAACGCUGGCGGCGUGCCUAACACAUGCAAGUCGUACGUGAAAGUCUUCGGAUGAGUAAAGUGGCGCACGGGUGAGUAACACGUAGGUGACCUGCCGUUUAGAGGGGGAUAACCAGAAGAAAUUUUGGCUAAUACCGCAUACGAAGUACAAAUCUUAGAGUAGUACUUGAAAGAAUGCCUCUGUAUAUGCAUUUACUAAACGAUGGGCCUGCGGUGCAUUAGCUAGUUGGUGGGGUAAUGGCCUACCAAGGCGACGAUGCAUAUCCGGUCUGAGAGGAUGAUCGGACACACUGGAACUGAGACACGGUCCAGACUCCUACGGGAGGCAGCAGUGGGGAAUAUUGCGCAAUGGGGGAAACCCUGACGCAGCAACGCCGCGUGAGUGAGGAAGGACUUCGGUCUGUAAAGCUCUGUUAAUGUGGAAAAUGCUUGCUGGUCUAAUAGGCCAGUAAGUUGAUGGUACACAUAGAGGAAGCACCGGCUAA
rnacentral:rRNA from 1 species